GCAGGCAGAAUUGUUGUUCUGUCUGCUUCCUUUUUCCCUUUUUCUUUUAACAACUGUGUGCUCCUAGCCAGAACUCCAUGAACUUUUAAACAGAUAUCAAAUUGCUUUAUGUUUUUUUUUUUGUUUGAUGAAUGUGGACAAGGGUGGGCUCUCUCACACUGGCACUGCCCCAAAUGUUGUCUGUCAUCCCCAUUAAUCAGAAUGGCAAUGGCAAUGGCGCCCACCAGAGAGGUGCCAGAACUGAGUUCCGGUGAGUUCCAGCUGGACAAAAGCCCUGCCUUUAUGGGAGUUUGCCUUAGAGAAUGCAGAGUCACCUACUGGUCAUUCCUCCUCACCCAAGUCCCAGUUUGAACUAACUAACGAGCCCAGAAAUUCGAUGCAAUGACAAGCGAGGAUGACACCAGACAAGAAGAUCUGGGGCUUCCUCAAAAAACUUUGGCGCUUUGAAACAGCAGUGUGAACCUCUACAGGGUUGGAAAUAAGGAAUAAACGG